rnacentral:rRNA from 1 species
UACGUAGGUGGCAAGCGUUGUCCGGAUUUACUGGGCGUAAAGAGCGCGCAGGCGGUCGUCCAAGUCGCGUGUGAAAGCCCCCGGCUCAACUGGGGAGGGUCACGCGAUACUGGUCGACUCGAAGGCAGGAGAGGGUAGUGGAAUUCCCGGUGUAGUGGUGAAAUGCGUAGAUAUCGGGAGGAACACCGAUGGCGAAGCAGCUGCCUGGCCUAACACUGACGCUGAGGUGCGAAAGCGUGGGGAGCGAACGGG